rnacentral:misc_RNA from 1 species
AACGCACAUUGCGCCCCUUGGUAUUCCAUGGGGCAUGCCUGUUCGAGCGUCAUCUACACCCUCAAGCUCUGCUUGGUGUUGGGCGUCUGUCCCGCCUUCGCGCGCGGACUCGCCCCAAAUUCAUUGGCAGCGGUCCUUGCCUCCUCUCGCGCAGCACAAUUGCGUCUGCGGGGGGGCGUGGCCCGCGUCCACGAAGCAACAUUACCGUCUUUGACCUCGGAUCAGUUAGGGAUACCCGCUGAACUUAA